UAGAGUUCCUUUUCGAACAAUUGUGAAAUUGUACUCUUACCCGUCGAGAACUACGUAUUUGUGUGGUUAGCACUUGCGUUGUUUAGAUGGGUUCCAUUUGCUGCCUUCAUCUUGCUUCAAUUGAAGUAAGAAGGAGAGUAGAAAUAAGAAACCGGCACGGUUUGUGCCAAGGACAGUUGUUGUUGGAGUGCAUUGCCAUCAUUUUGRUGUGCUUUGUGUUAUUCCAGUGAGCGUGUAAAUGACUCCUGGCAAUGGAUAUCUUGGCUCUCGUGUCGAUGAAGAACGUAGCGAAAUGCGACACUUGGUGUGAAUUGCAGAAUCCCGUGAACCAUCGAGUCUUUGAAUGCAAGUUGCGCUCGAGGCCAUUAGGUCGAGAGCACGUCUGUUUGGGCGUCAUGCCUUGCGUCAUUCUAACCACCCACCUACGAUAAUCAUACUGUGAGUGAUAGUGGAUGUGGAGAUUGACCCUCCGUGCUUUAAUUGUGCGGUUGGUUCAAGUGAAUGUUGUCGCUAGGUCUACGCGCGGCGAAUGGUGUAUCGAGUUAACACACGAUGUCUCUAACUGCGUCCAGRAGUCCUAAGCRCGAUGUAACACUAACUGAAACCAGUUUCGAUGUUUGCCUCAGUCGCAAGCUCGGACC
rnacentral:misc_RNA from 1 species